rnacentral:rRNA from 1 species
UACGUAGGUGGCGAGCGUUGUCCGGAUUUACUGGGCGUAACGGGCGUGCAGGCGGUUUGUUAAGUGCAGGGUGAAAGCUCCCGGCUCAACUGGGAGAGGUCCUUGCAUACUGGCGAACUCGAGGGAGGCAGAGGAAAGUGGAAUUCCCGGUGUAGUGGUGAUAUGCGUAGAUAUCGGGAGGAACACCUGUGGCGAAGGCGGCUUUCUGGGCCGUACCUGACGCUGAGACGCGAAAGCGUGGGGAGCGAACAGG